CAGCUCGUGUCGUGAGAUGUCGGUUAAGUCCGCUAACGAGCGCAACCCUCGCUGUGUGUUAUAUGUGUCACACAGGACUGCUGGUAUUAAGCCGGAGGAAGUGGGGACGACGUCAAGUCAGCAUGACCUUUAUAUCCAGGGCUACACACACGCUACAAUGGUCAGUACAAUGGGUUGCCAAGCCGCGAGGCGGAGCCAAUCCUAAAAAGACUGGCCUCAGUUCAGAUUGCAGUCUGAAACUCGACUGCAUGAAGUCGGAGUUGCUAGUAAACGCAGGUCAGCUAUACUGCGUUGAAUACGUUCCCGGGGUUU
rnacentral:rRNA from 1 species